CUUAUUUUAAAUGCCCUUUUUAAUCAGGCUGCAGAAAACUAACUAAUGGCUUGAACUGCUGCAGUGUUGUGCUCUUCCCCAUUCUUUCCAGCAAGCUUUGGAAUGCUCUGGCCAACAGCUCAAGCAGGAGUGAACUGAAAAACCAUUGAAACCAUUGAACUGGAGUGAACUGUGUAAUGGGGCUUUGAUGUUUCUGUAUGUACAGUGCAUCUCUUGCUCAGCUGGCUUGGCAGGAGGCUCUCUCUGCCAUUUAUUCCCUCUCUUCCCCACUCUCUUAAAUGGAAAUGGGUGUCUUCUGCUGAUCAAAACAGCCAGCACACUUCUGCUAAAUCCUUUCAAACUGCAGCCAGGGUAAUUGGGAUGGGUAGGAUAAAUGCAGGAGAGUGUGGCAGUAAAAGUGAUGGCAGUUCUUUUGAACGACUGGGUGUCCUCCUGACAUGUAAUUAGCUGCUUUAGAAAGAUGGGGAUUGGCAUGGUCAUAAUUAAGAGGAUUUCUGUCUUUUCUGUGAUUGAAAACAGGAGAUCUUUCCACCCCCUAAUUCUCUUUAAUACCAGUGUUAUUAGUGACACUUGGAACACAGCUACUCCCUAAACUUAAAUAAUGACCUGUUCCUAAUGGUAACUUACAACAGCAGGGACUGAAACUGAGUUUGGGUUUCUAUGCAAAGCUGCUUCUCCUCCUUUUAUGGUUUUUCUCUCUCCCUUGCUCAUCUAUAAAUUGCUUCUCAGUCUGCUUUAGAAACAAACCAGACAUUUGGUUGUGUGUGACAGCCUGAUUGCAGAUUGCCCAGGGUUCUGGUUUAGCUCUUCUCUGUUCGUUUUCAAGUUGUAGCACUGAGGAAGAUGAGGAGCCAAGCUCCAGGACUCCACUGAAUCCUCAUCCCAGAUUUUCACCCUACCCACAGAUUUAAGGGACCAAUUGCACUGGUGUCCUCUGGUUCCUGAGGCAGGGGAUGGAUCUGCUCUUCUCUGCUGCUCCCAGUUCUUCAGUGUCUUGGUUUGGAAGCCUUAUCAGCAGUUGUUACCAGGGAAAUCACCAUCUUGUCCUCAGGCUGUCUGCUGUCUCCUGGUGCUUUAGCAGAGUUUAGUGAUAGGACCUCACUCACCUUUUUCUGAAGGAAUCUCAGAAUAGUCUGAAUGGCAUCCCAGCCAUUCACAACAGGAGAGGAUAUAUGGUGGUGACCUUAAAAUGACAUUGUAAUCUGUCUCUUAUCUUGCUGGAGUCUCAAAAAGCAUCAGUCAUAGGGGGUUAUGUGCCUUUUUAUUCUGUGUUUGCAUGAGAAACCUGAUCUGUUGGCCAGUCUUGAGCACUGCAGAGCCUGUGCUUCAUUUUUACCCUGAAAUUUCUUGACAAUAUUUUUCCCUAGGGCUUUUCUCCUGCUGUGCUUAUUUAUCAGAGAGGUUUCUGGAGUUUUUUGGUACUUAGAUACACCCAUAGAGACUCAGUCACAUUAGGAAAAACCAGCAGAUUCCUGACUCCAACAGAUGGGCAAAGCAAGUUAAGAACUUCACUACUCCAGGCUCUUCUUUAAAUCCAUCAGUGACUUUUCAGCUCCUUUGUACUGAAAUACUUGUGUAAAUCUCAUCCCAUGUUGCUGUGGGUAAUGAGUACUUCAGUUCUUCCAGCACAGUCACCACUGGUGGUGCUGGCAAUUGUAGCAACUUCUUUUUUAGGACAUAAAGUUUUAGACAUUAACUUGCUGCUGUCUCUGGCCUCAAUUCACCUUCCUCUCCUCCUCUCCUCACCCCUUCUCCUUAACUAAUUAAAGUCUUCCAUGUCAUGGCAAGAAGGCAUAUGUAGCUUAAAUAACCCACCUCUGUAAUUAAGAGGUUGACUUUAGCCUUCUGAGAUCUAUUUUACAUCAUUUGAGAUUUAAAAAUACAUUUUACUUACAAAGUUUAUCUGGAGGAGGGCAAAGAGAUAAUGAAAGUAAAUUAUUAAUUAAUAUUUCUCACCUACUAGGUUCUAUUAAGAAUGUUAAGCCUGUAUUCCAUUCCUCAAAGCACGUUUGACUUUAGAUUUUUUUAAUUAUUUUUUUUUUUAAAGUCUGCCUGCUGAUAAAGUUGCUGCUAUCUUUCUUUGACAGGACUAUAGAGACAGUACUGAAAAUACCCUUCAGGAACUAACCAGAGCCAGGAACUCAGAAUAUCAGCUCACUGACCAGUUUUCCCUAGCCCAGAGUGCCCACCAUCUCAUUUAUGCACUAUGACAAGUAAGCAGAUCUAUACAAGACCAAAGUAGAGUCUCCCUUGCUACAUUCAAACUGUUCUGUUCACAAAGUUUGAUGUAAUUUUGGAGUGGAAAAAUAGCAGGAGCAUCUCACCUUUCUGCAUCCUGGAUUGAGGGAUCUGAGUUCAGGUGGAGCUACCCUGGGGUCAAAAUGGCAAAGAAGAAAUUCAGCUUCUUGCUGGGAAAGACCAAGUGUACUGCACAAAACUGGGAACUGGUGCUUGAGGAGUGCAAACAUCUCUGGUGCUUUCUUGAUGAAGGAAUUUCUGACAAGCUCUGAAAUCUCCAAUGUACAUUGCUUUGGGCCAGUGUGUCUUCACAGCACACCCUGGAGCAUUAUCAGGUUUGGUUAGGACUUGUUGCUAGAGUUUGAGAUGUGCUUUUUGUUCUCUUUGCUGCAGAGGUUGCUUUAGAACUUGGCCCACAGCUGCUUACUGGGCAAGAACAGUUUAAAUCUGCAACUCCUCCUUCCUUCAGAGCUUCUUUAAGUCAUGGUCCUCUUUCUCCAGGUGCUUGGAGGAGAGAAAUCCUGUAGAGAUGACUCGUGCAGAACUGUAAGAGGUAACAUCAGCUGAGGAUCUGCUAUGAGAUUCCAACAGUACUCAGUUAUUAAUGCUGGGGCUUGUAGCAGAACAAAACAGCUCUGAAGUUGCAUUGCCAGUAAUUCAGUUCAGGGAAGGAGGCUUGAAAAUUGGGGCAUCAGAGUAGGAGUUAGGAGUCAAUGAAGUAUCCAUGGAUAUUGAGAAGAUCUUUGUAAAUGUGCUUGUUGGGUGCAAAGUGCUCCAUUGCACAUUUAUAAAUGUAUUGGCUACAAGUGAUAAGAUCUGUAAAGAGCUCUGUGGUAAAGGCAGACACUUUCAGUUAGGGGAUUUUUUAAUUUUUAGUGUUUUGCAUUUGGAAGGGCAGGAUGGUUCAUUCAUCAUGUUGGGUGAAGUAGAAAGAAUUAGGGAGUUUGCAUCAGAGAUUUGGUGGUCAUUUAAAAUUCAAGGUCUCCAUGUAGGUGAUAGACUGGUCCCUUCUGGCCUUAACUGUAAAACUGUGAUUCCAAAGAGGUAAGACUUGUCUUUUCCAGUUAUAACCUGUUCAUAGCAUUUAAUAAUUCAGAAGAGAUUUCAGUACCAGAGAGGUUCUCUGCAGUAAGAACUUCUUUUAAAAGUCUGACUUCCCAUCAGAGAACAUUUUGUGCCUUAUGUCUCUCAACCACAUGAAGUUCCAGUUAUGAAUGAUAAAUAUCUUCCUACAAUUUGUACUUCUGUCAAAAUGGGAACCAAACAAAUGUACUGGUGAUAACCAGGGGUGUCUCUUUGCUGCUGUUAUUACUCUGGUUUGCUCCAGUAUCUUCCAGGUUCAGUCUCUUUAUUCUGCUGUCCCCAAGAUGGUUAUUUCAUACCAGUUAAAGUAGCUCUGGAAGUUCAACUCUUCUUUUUGCUUCUGAUUUCAGAAUAAAAAAUGGAAAGCAACCAAUAACCAAAAGCCCAGGUCAGUCUGAAUUUCUAAGCCUAAAUUCUUUGUUCCUGUUCAUAACACGAGACACUUGGUUGUUGAGGGUACCUUAUGAUGUUUUCCAACCUAAGAACACUCAACAUGAAAAACCAUUCCACAUGGAAGAAAAAAAAGGGAUCAUUCCUGACUGUUUCCUCUUGCUGCAGUGCCUCAAGCAACUGUUUGGCUUUUUUUUUUUUUUUUAACAAAUACUUUAAUCAAUUGCCAGAGUGCUUCAGAAAAUAUCCCAGCCACCAGAAGUCCUCUUUGCUAAACUGAAAACUCUUCUCUGAAGAGCCUGUGUUUCCUUGAAGGAAUUCCAGAUCUGAGUUACACCUGAGCCAUUCCCUUUCCUCUGAAGUUGGUUAUCACUGGUACUGAAUUUGUCACACCUUAUUUCCCAAAACUUUGUUCUUCUCCUAGAGGUAAUUUUUUUUUUAUCUUUCAUCCAAGCUGCUUCACACUAAUUCUAUUUUACCUUGGUUUGCUGGUGGUUUACUGAUACUGAAGUGCUCUGACCCAAACCUGUUGUUCUGAGGGUCUCUAAAUAUGGGAUAUUUGUUAUUUCCAGGCUAAAAAAAAGGAAUCCAGUGUAGUGCUGAAGCUUAGAUUUGCUUCAGUCUUAUGAAAUAUUCCAGAUUUUCUGCUAGCUGAAAGACCUCCUGCUUUUCAGGCCUGGUUAGUCAGCAACUCUCCUUCUGACCCUCAUUUCAGUUUUGAUGCUUAGAUUAUGGUGGUGGUCAAAGGUUGGACUGGAUGAUCUUGGAGGUCUCUUCCAACCUAAACACUCUGUGAUUAGCAAAUCCAAAUCAGGGAAACAGUAACUUGGAAGUAGAAUCUUUUUUUUUUAAUUAUUAUUAAUACUUGGGCUGUCUUUUUUUAUUAGGAAGAGUGGUACUGAGCUGUGCACUUCUGCAGAUACUCAACCAUCUUCUAGCAUCUUCUUUGCAAAAAUACCACAGAUAAUGGCAGCACUUCUGAACAGAGUAAUUGGAAGUUUCUUGCACACAACUGCAGUGCUCAGGUUUCUCUCUCUUUUGUUGGGUUCUUUGUGGUGGUUGCUUGCUGCCUCUCCCACUCAUUAGGACUCACUUGUUGCUCUCUGAGCCCUUUUUCUCCUUUCACAGUGAUUUUUAGCAUUUUCAUUCUGUUCUUCCCUGCUUUUCUAGUGCUUCUCCUUCUCUUUUUUUUUCCUGUACAGGCACUUUAUUGUCUACACAAAUUCAAGCAGCAUAUUUAUAGACAUUUUAAUGCUAAUUUAGUCCAAGUCAAGAGACAUUCACCUUCCCUUUUGCCUGUUAGAUAGGGUCCUGUCAAUUGCUUACUUGAAGUCCAAAUAUAUUUUGUCCACAGUGCAGUAUAAAUGUGAAAAAAAUUGUCUUCUCUUACCCUUCUAAGAAAAAACAGCUCAGAAAUUCACUCAUUUUACAGCAAGUUUUCUUUACUUUCAACCUCCCUUGUGAAAUAAGUUCCAAGGUGUUGGACCAUGGUUCACAGGGAGAGGACAAGGCAGUGUUGGGGUUUUUUUGUUAUUUCAUUCAUUUUAUUUUGUCUUGCUUGCACCUGGUGCUGGAAGCUGUUUUAUUUGGGCAGUUGUUGAUCUUGGUCAGUGUGUUGUUGUCUGUGUUUUUAGGGUGAAGGUUUGGGACAGGGUGUGUGGGUUCUGCAAAUCUUUGCUGUCUUCUGUACUGGUUCCUCUUGUCCCUUCAUUCACCCAGGGGUUUGGGAUCACUUUUGUGCAGCCAGUGUAGCUUUUUGUUAGGAUUUUUAAAACCAUUUUCCAUUCAGAAAUGGUUGGAGAAACUUGAAACUACUUUUCCAUGCAAAAUCACAGCAAAAGCAGAGUUUGGGUUUGGAGCUUCCCACCACUCAGUGUUACCCACUGAAUUUUCUCCUCUUCUUUUGGCUUUGCUGCAGAUUUUGAUGUCAUCUUGAGAGCUCCUGUGCUGAGCUCAAGCCUGUGACUUGUUUCUGGUUGCUCUGAGCCCAGAGCCCUGUUGGUUCUUUCUCAAGGGACAGAUUUUCUGUUUCAUCCCCUGUUGCAAUACAAACACAAAAGCAAAAACCUUUCUGCCUUGCUCUUGGCUCUUCCCGUAGCAUCCCUGACAUCCUGCUGGGUACCCUCCAACCCUUGCUGCCAGGGUUGUUCUCCAGGGUUCCAGGCAGAACCUUGCACACCAGGUAGUGCAAACACAUUGUGCCCUGCUACUGGUUUAAACUGGGAGAGCCCCAUGUCUCCUCAAGGAGGCAGAUGUCAGGUCUGAGAUGAUAAAAGGAUCUGGUGGUGCCACGGAAGCACCAUCGGGCAGGCUCGUACCUUAAAGAUAAUACAGGAAUCACAAAUUUAAAUUAGAUUUUAGUUGAAUAGGAGUUCUAUCAAAGGGUGACAAAUAAAAGUCAGUUGUGUCCAUGGGGAGCACUAUUUUCUUGACAAAUUGCCUUGGCUGUCUCCCUCUUGGUCUUUAUGAUCUUCCCAAGGCUGACGAAAGCCUGGGGAGUGUGAAAUAUGUGCAGUACUUUUUAAUUUUUUUUUUCUUUUUUUUUCUUUUUUUUUUUUUUUACUUAGUGUCAAUUUUAAAAGUGCCUAAGUGAGUAACAGGACUCCAGAAUGAGCUGGAGGAAUAGGAUUUAGACCUCAUUUCCCUUUAAAGAAAAGAGCCCUCCCUGCUGUCCAUCCACGCAUCCAAUUCCAGGUGUGUGGUGGGAGUCUGGAGCCCCUCAGAAUCCAGCUGGAAAUAAAUCUUGGCUCCUUCCUCAUGCCACCCCCCUUGGUUUUCAGUCUUCUUUUUGUGGGGGGAGUAUCUUAUAAAUAAAUCUCAUUCCUCUGCCUUUAGCAAUCUCCAGUUUGAUGUGGAUGUUGAAGAGGGGGAGAGGCUUGAACAGGAUUCAGUAGGAAACUGCCUCUUGGAUUGCAGGUCCAAAGAGCUUUGUGCAUUAAACACACCUCUGGGCAACCCCACAUCUGAGGUUCUGGGUGGCAAAACUGAUAAAUAUAUUUGAAUCACCCCUUUUUUGGAAUCACAGAGGCAGUUUCUUCCUAUCUUCUUCAUUUUUUUUCUAGUAGCAGCACCUGCUAAACACUUUGUCAGAAUAAUUGUGACUAUUGGCAGGUGGUUAUAAUUUUGUAAAGGUACAGGAGAAUUUUAUGUGGAUGUCAAUGCUAAUUUAAAGAAUUGCAGUAAGGGAUAAUUUCUUCUGACCAUAUAGUACCAGUUAGGGAUUCAGAAAAUGAAAGCAAUCCAUAUGUAGAUGUUUUAUUUUUCACUGGGAACAAAAUGUUGUUUUCACUCUUGACGACUUCGUAACGAAGGAGUUGGGAAAGCCUUGGAAAUGACUAUUGGCAAGGAAAGCUGUAAGGACAUCUCUCUUGCAGAGAGCAGAAAAUCAGCUUGUAGGAUGUUGAUGGGUGUUGAUAUAAGCAGUGAUCAAAUGGGAAUCUAUUGCUGGGGUAGUAAUGAAAAUAAAGUAGUUGUGGAGCCUCUAAUACCCACAGCUCAUUCAGAGCUGUGCCACCACCCUGCUCUAGAGAUGCCUUUUUUUUUUUAACACUGAUUUUUUGUUGGUUUUUGGGUUUUUUUCCCUAAACCAAGUGAUUGUCAGUAGCAGUGGUUGUAAUUGAAAAAAAAAAAGAUUAAUGUAGUGGGAAGUCUUGCAAACCUAGAAGUGAAACGACAGCGGAACAGUGUCAGAGACACAAAGAAAAGAAAAAAAAAUAAAAAUGAAGAAGCAAAACCCACAGACAAGGGUGUGGGUGUCCCCAAGACAGGUGGGGGACUCUUCUUCUUCUUCAUUUUAAAAUUAUGUGUGUCUGAAUUUUGUCCCACUGUCACCUGGGCUCGGGGCAGCGGGUGUGGGAUCCACCUCAUAUCCCCGGUAAGAGCAAGCGAGCGUGGUUGGGAUGGAAGCACCAGGUGUGUUGGGUGGCUGGCAGUCACCUCUGGUCACUCCAUGUGUGUCCCAAACCCAUCAGCAACCCAAGGUGAGCCGUGUCCCACCUCUUCUGGUCACCACCAGGCUCUUAGGUGUCUCUGCAUUCCUCUGUCAGAAUCUUCCACCCACGUGUUCCUUUCUCCCGCCGUGCAUCCCGCCGAGCACGGGACCUGUGUCUCAUCUGCUGUAGGUGUUCUGCCUACCUCAAGAGGUAACCUUGGUAUCCUAGAGUUGUAUGUUCAUGGUCUGUUCUUUUUCUACAUGAGCACUAGCACACGCACACACACACACACACACACACACACUGGAAUGUAUAUUCUCCUCCCCUCCCACCAUCCCUGAAUAACCUCUUGACCUGAUCCUUGCUGUAGCCACCACCAACUCCUCUUGCAAAAUUGGAUGCUGCUUUAAAUGUGAAAACAAAUGUUCAAGAAGCUAUAAAACCUGAAUGAAAGCUAAAGCUGAAUUUAUAAAGCCUUGUUGCAUAUGAGCCAAAAGUGCAAAAAGCUCUAUAUAAUGAACUAACCUGCCACUCAUAUAAAUAUAAAUAUAUAUAAAUAUAUUAAAAUCAGACUGUUCUACAAAAUUGUGUAUUUGUAUUUUUGUGUACGUACAAUUUUCUGCUAAGCAGAAGGAGGAUGUAGUAUAGGAUGAUGUGAGAAGAGAUUUUGUUUAAUCAUAUUUCUUUGUCACUUAUUUUUGUUAACAUCCAGAUGCCUGUCUUUGUCUUAUGUGUAUGACACUGUUCAAAAGGUGCAGUAUCUCUCUCCCACCCUCAAAAACUUGGGGAAUGCUCCACCAAAUCUACCCAGAUCCUGAUCUUGACCAGGGCUGUGCUUUCUCAGCUUAAAGAUGAAAUAUUUCACUUAUUUAACAGGUGCAUUGUGUCCUUACUCCUAGUAGUAACUUCAGAUACUCAUAGGCAGGUCGAUUGCUCUUGGCACACGUGUUCUCCAGCCACACUGCAUCAUCUACAGGAGCUUUGCUACUGGUCCUCAGCUUGGAAAUAAGAAAGAAAUAGGGUCAGUUGGGAGGAUUGAGAGGUCCUUGGGGCAGGACAGUGCUUGUGGAAAGAAAGGAGGAGGAAGGAAGGAGCAGGGUGGCACGGGGUGAAUCUCAGGUAAUCCCAGCAUGGAGGAAGGUGCUGCGGGGAGCUCGGGUUCCCCCCCACAGCUGUCUGCAGGUGCCAGAGGGUGGUUUUUUGCUUUCAGGAAGGCAAGUUGGUGAGGGAAGAAGUUCUGACUGUCCCUGUGCCACUUCAGACACCUCCUUCCAUCCCUGGCAGGGCUCCCACCUCAGCUCAGGUGCUUGGUCACCCUUGGGUCCAUUGCCCCAGGAAGAGUCCUGGCAGCUCC